rnacentral:rRNA from 1 species
CUACGGGUUGCAGCAGUGGGGAAUAUUGGACAAUGGGGGCAACCCUGAUCCAGCCAUGCCGCGUGUGUGAAGAAGGCCUUAGGGUUGUAAAGCACUUUCAGUGGUGAGGAAGGGUGUGCAGUUUAUACCUGUAUAUCUUGACGUUAGCCACAGAAGAAGCACCGGCUAACUCUGUGCCAGCAGCCGCGGUAAUACAGAGGGUGCGAGCGUUAAUCGGAAUUACUGGGCGUAAAGCGCGCGUAGGUGGUUUGUUAAGUCGGAUGUGAAAUCCCCGGGCUCAACCUGGGAACUGCACCCGAUACUGGCAGGCUAGAGUACGAUAGAGGGGUGUGGAAUUUCCUGUGUAGCGGUGAAAUGCGUAGAUAUAGGAAGGAACAUCAGUGGCGAAGGCGACACCCUGGAUUGAUACUGACACUGAGGUGCGAAAGCGUGGGGAGCAAACAGGAUUAGAUACCCGUGUAGUC